rnacentral:rRNA from 1 species
ACGAACGCUGGCGGCGUGCCUCAUACAUGCAAGUAGAACGCUGAAGGAGGAGCUUGCUUCUCUGGAUGAGUUGCGAACGGGUGAGUAACGCGUAGGUAACCUGCCUGGUAGCGGGGGAUAACUAUUGGAAACGAUAGCUAAUACCGCAUAAGAGUAGAUGUUGCAUGACAUUUGCUUAAAAGGUGCAAUUGCAUCACUACCAGAUGGACCUGCGUUGUAUUAGCUAGUUGGUGGGGUAACGGCUCACCAAGGCGACGAUACAUAGCCGACCUGAGAGGGUGAUCGGCCACACUGGGACUGAGACACGGCCCAGACUCCUACGGGAGGCAGCAGUAGGGAAUCUUCGGCAAUGGACGGAAGUCUGACCGAGCAACGCUGCGUGAGUGAAGAAGGUUGUCGGAUCGUAAAGCUCUGUUGUAAGAGAAGAACGAGUGUGAGAGUGGAAAGUUCACACUGUGACGGUAUCUUACCAGAAAGGGACGGCUAACUACGUG